rnacentral:lncRNA from 1 species
AUUACCUCACAUGUCUAUUACUCUUAAAUUGCAGAACAAGGGCUAAUCAUUCUUAAUUGGUAAAGGUAGUUUUCUCACUGGGAAUUCCCUUUUAUUAAUGAAAUACUUUAAGGUAAAAAAAUAAUGAUGCAAAAGCAGCACUAGGUAAGAAGGCAAUAUAAAGGCAAAAAAGACGUCAUCUCUGCCUUUGGCAUUGGCCCUUUACUUUGUGACCAACAUCUAUCUCUCAGUGAUAUAAAGAAGUCGACAAGCUCAAUGUAAAGAAACAUUUCCCCAUAGUUAGAACUCCUGUUGCUUCAAAAGGAGAGAGGGCUACAAGAGAUAGUUGACUUACCCUUUAUGGUAGGUCUUCCAGCAAAGAUUUGGUAACCAUGGAUCAAUGAUGUUCUAGUUUCAUAGACCUGAACCAUUUUAUACUGGAGUUUGACAACACUGAUCUAGAUCCUGGUACAAUGAGAAGUAUGAGGAAGGAAAGAUAACUUUUAUCUGGAUCUGAAAGUCAAGAAAUUAUCAAAUUAAUAAACAGAUGAAAUUGGCUGGUUCUAGGACAUGGAUCAGAGGGAUGGUUGAGAAGAUCAGGAAAUUAUUCCAAUUUAAGAGAUCUUGAAGCAGCAUCUUGAAGGAAAAUAAAAUUUCUAAGAGGUAGAGAUGAGGAGGGAGUGAAUUUCAGGAAUGUUGGACAGUCAAUGCAAAGGUUCAGAUUCACAUGUGAAGUCACAUCAGAAGAAGAGACACAAGACCAGUUUCCCUAGACACAAGGGUUACAAAAACACCACAAUGAUACACCCAGGUUGUGGCUGCUAGGCAUACUCCAACUCCUUGAAGCCACAGAGAAGAGAUGGGUGAAAAGUGUACACCAAAGGUGGAUUUUCUUCAGCUAAAUCCCUUAGGGAUUUUCUUGGAAUAAAUACUAGAGUGGCAUGACA